UGUGGUUUGGAAUUUGGUUAUCGCUGGUUUCAUCCACAUUAACAAAAACGCUCCUGUUCUGACUUUCUGAUAAUAAUAUGAGAGAAAGUGCUGAACUCCUCCUCUGAGCUGUUACAGGGACAGAUGUUGGCAGAUGUGUCAGUGUCAGAGUUACAGUUAGAGAGGUCAGUGAUGCAUUCUAACAGUUUUAUUUAAACCUUAAAUUUAAUCUGAUGUGUUCAGGUUUAAACUCAGGUUCAGUUAUUGAGUGAAAACACCAACAGACUCAGACAUUUAGAACAAACUAAGAGUCAGAUCAGCAGAAACAGAGAACACGGACAUGUCUGCUGUAACUGCGUCACUCUGCUCCACGCUGAUGUUUGUCCUGUUCGUCUCUGCAGACCAGAAAAACAUUGCAGCUGAGUCUGGACAGAACAUCACUCUGCCAUGUGGAGCUCCAAACAAGAUUAUAGUUGUAGAGUGGAGCAGAGCUGAACUGGGAGAUGAAAAUGUGUUCAUUUACCAGGAUGGGCGACCUCUUGACGACCAGCAUCCAUCUUUAAAAGAACCGGGUGGAUCUGCAGGACAGACAGAUGAAGGAUGGAGACGUGUCUUUGAUUCUGAAAGAUGUGACGAUUAAUGAUGCUGGAACAUACGAGUGUCGUGUCCAGAGAGAGGGAGACGGUAUAAAGCUCAUCAACAGCAUCUACCUUCAUGUUGAUCCUCCAGGUGAGUGAGUAGAGUUGAGUGUGUGUGUGAUCAGAGGUGAAGCUGCUUCCUGGUUGUUGAUGUGUGUUUCUAAAGAUGUUGUUGAUGAGACUUUGUAGAAAGCAGCUGGUCUGAGUGAUGUGAUCAGAGUGCAGUAGAUAAUGUCUGACAGCAGUUUGAAGAGGAAAUGGAUUCUGUUCUGUUCUUCACUCAUCACCUACCUGACAGCUGACACCUCACACCUGUUUCUCACCUGCAGCUCAGACAGGAGGAGACACAGAGGAUGUAGGAAACAAGGAGGAUGGACCUGGUGGACUGAUGUGCUUCUUGCUGCUGCUGUUGUUGGGUUUCCUGAUCUACAGAAAACAGAAAGAGUAACAGAGUGCACAUCAGGGUGGCUUCUCCACCAGUCAGGUUCCCCUGCUACAUGGGCAUCAACAUCCCAACCAAGGAGGAGCUCAUCGCCAACAAGCCGGAGUUUGAGGACAUUGCUGGUUAUAUUGGUAUUUAAACAUGAACUUCUACCAUUCAUUUCUUUGACAGGUCAGAACAAAAACUUGUGUUAAUGCUAAAGCUGUUUACAGGUGCUGACAGUGUCAAAUUAUUUAUAACCACCUAUGUAAUCUUGAUAUUUAAAAUGGAACAAUUUGUAUAUAUUAGUGCUAUUUAUUAAAUUUGUAAACUGUAACAUAUAGUGUAUUUUAAUAGUUGACUUUGUUGCUGUCUUGGAGCAGCUGUAAUCUCCUCAGGGAUUAAUAAAGUAUUCUGAUUGUGAAAUAACUGACUCGAGUUUGAAAGUGCAGCUGUAACGAGGACCUGUGCAGGUAAACUUAAGUGUUUUGUAGGCAGCGUGUAAUGAUGUACACGGUACCGUUUACUACAGAUAUCACAGCCACAUAAGUGUGCUAACACUCAGAAACCCAGUGGUAUUUCAUUAAAUGACUGGGGCACUGGGAAUGGUAAAUGUUUGCUGGUUCAUGAAUUUGAACUGAUUUGUGGUUUCUUGAUGUCGAAUUGAACUCAUGUAAGUUAGUUUUCAAAGCUGUAGACACACUGCUAAUACUUCCAUGGUGCUGCAGGUAUUGCUGCUGUGACUACUGUAGUAUACCUGAUAACGCAACUUUGCAGCGAAAACAAACCACGCAACGGCAAAUGCAAAAUGAAAUAUUGAAUCACGAGAUAAAACUGCAAACAUAAAUGCAAGAUUUCAAGGAAGUUCUGUCCUUGGCUUUAGACCUUCCUCUAAUUAAAAACAUUGUGGCUAAUAUUAUGGUUAAGACUUUGCUGUCUCGGGCUGAUUUGCACCUUGUGAAACCAG
ensembl:lncRNA